rnacentral:rRNA from 1 species
CCUACGGGCGGCAGCAGUGGGGAAUAUUGCACAAUGGGCGCAAGCCUGAUGCAGCCAUGCCGCGUGUGUGAAGAAGGCCUUCGGGUUGUAAAGCACUUUCAGCGGGGAGGAAGGCGUUAAGGUUAAUAACCUUGGCGAUUGACGUUACCCGCAGAAGAAGCACCGGCUAACUCCGUGCCAGCAGCCGCGGUAAUACGGAGGGUGCAAGCGUUAAUCGGAAUUACUGGGCGUAAAGCGCACGCAGGCGGUCUGUCAAGUCGGAUGUGAAAUCCCCGGGCUCAACCUGGGAACUGCAUUCGAAACUGGCAGGCUAGAGUCUUGUAGAGGGGGGUAGAAUUCCAGGUGUAGCGGUGAAAUGCGUAGAGAUCUGGAGGAAUACCGGUGGCGAAGGCGGCCCCCUGGACAGUGACUGACGCUGAGGAGCGAAAGCAUGGGUAGCGAACAGGAUUAGAUACCCGAGUAGUC